AUUGAACGCUGGCGGCAGGCUUAACACAUGCAAGUCGAGCGGGGUGAUGGUGCUUGCACUAUCACUUAGCGGCGGACGGGUGAGUAAUGCUUAGGAAUCUGCCUAUUAGUGGGGGACAACAUCUCGAAAGGGAUGCUAAUACCGCAUACGUCCUACGGGAGAAAGCAGGGGAUAACUCGUGACCUUGCGCUAAUAGAUGAGCCUAAGUCGGAUUAGCUAGUUGGUGGGGUAAAGGCCUACCAAGGCGACGAUCUGUAGCGGGUCUGAGAGGAUGAUCCGCCACACUGGGACUGAGACACGGCCCAGACUCCUACGGGAGGCAGCAGUGGGGAAUAUUGGACAAUGGGGGGAACCCUGAUCCAGCCAUGCCGCGUGUGUGAAGAAGGCCUUAUGGUUGUAAAGCACUUUAAGCGAGGAGGAGGCUCUUUUGGUUAAUACCCAAGAUGAGUGGACGUUACUCGCAGAAUAAGCACCGGCUAACUCUGUGCCAGCCGCCGCCGUAACAC
rnacentral:rRNA from 1 species